UACAGAGGGUGCGAGCGUUAAUCGGAAUUACUGGGCGUAAAGCGCACGUAGUCGGCUUGUCAAGUCGGGUGUGAAAGCCCUGGGCGUCAACCUGGGAACGUGCAGUGGAAACUAGGACGACUAGAGUGUGGUAGAGGGUAGCGGAAUUCCUGGCGUAGCAGUGAAAUGCGUAGAGAUCAGGAGGAACAUCCAUGGCGAAGGCAGCUACCUGGACCAACACUGACACUGAGGCACGAAAGCGUGGGGAGCAAACAGGAUUAGAAA
rnacentral:rRNA from 1 species